rnacentral:rRNA from 1 species
ACCUAAUAGAUACCCGGGUAGUCCACGCCCUAAACGAUGCGAACUGGAUGUUGGGUACAUUACGGUACUCAGUGUCGAUGCUAAACGCGUUAAGUUCGCCGCCUGGGGAGUACGGUCGCAAGACUGAAACUCAAAGGAAUUGACGGGGGCCCGCACAAGCGGUGGAGUAUGUGGUUUAAUUCGAUGCAACGCGAAGAACCUUACCUGGCCUUGACAUCUGUCGAAUCCUGCAGAGAUGCGGGAGUGCCGCAAGGAACGACAAGACAGGUGCUGCAUGGCUGUCGUCAGCUCGUGUCGUGAGAUGUUGGGUUAAGUCCCGCAACGAGCGCAACCCUUGUCCCUAGUUGCCAGCACAUCAUGGUGGGAACUCUAGGGAGACUGCCGGUGACAAACCGGAGGAAGGUGGGGAUGACGUCAAGUCCUCAUGGCCCUUACGGCCAGGGCUACACACGUACUACAAUGGUCGGUACAGAGGGUUGCGAAGCCGCGAGGCGAAGCCAAUCCCAGAAAGCCGAUCCCAGUCCGG